GAUGAACGCUGGCGGCGUGCCUAAUACAUGCAAGUCGAGCGAACGGACGAGAAGCUUGCUUCUCUGAUGUUAGCGGCGGACGGGUGAGUAACACGUGGAUAACCUACCUAUAAGACUGGGAUAACUUCGGGAAACCGGAGCUAAUACCGGAUAAUAUUUUGAACCGCAUGGUUCAAAAGUGAAAGACGGUCUUGCUGUCACUUAUAGAUGGAUCCGCGCUGCAUUAGCUAGUUGGUAAGGUAACGGCUUACCAAGGCAACGAUGCAUAGCCGACCUGAGAGGGUGAUCGGCCACACUGGAACUGAGACACGGUCCAGACUCCUACGGGAGGCAGCAGUAGGGAAUCUUCCGCAAAGGGCGAAAGCCUGACGGAGCAACGCCGCGUGUGUGAUGAAGGUCUUCGGAUCGUAAAACUCUGUUAUUAGGGAAGAACAUAUGUGUAAGUAACUGUGCACAUCUUGACGGUACCUAAUCAGAAAGCCACGGCUAACUACGUG
rnacentral:rRNA from 1 species